rnacentral:rRNA from 1 species
GUUGAUAAGGUUAAGUGAAUAAGGGCGCACGGUGGAUGCCUUGGCACUAGGAGCCGAUGAAGGACGGGACUAACACCGAUAUGCUUUGGGGAGCUGUACGUAAGCUAUGAUCCAGAGAUUUCCGAAUGGGGGAACCCAGCAUCUUUAAUAGGAUGUUACGAUUGUGUGAAUACAUAGCACAUUCGAGGUAGACGCAGAGAACUGAAACAUCUAAGUACCUGCAGGAAGAGAAAGAAAAUUCGAUUCCCUGAGUAGCGGCGAGCGAAACGGGAAAAGCCCAAACCAACAAGCUUGCUUGUUGGGGUUGUAGGACUCCAAUAUGGUCGUUCUUUCAGAUAGUCGAAUGACUUGGAAAAGUCAGUCAAAGAGGGUAAAAACCCCGUAGACGAAAUGUGGAAGACACCUAGGAGGAUCCUGAGUACGGCGGAACACGAGAAAUUCCGUCGGAAUCCGGGAGGACCAUCUCCCAAGGCUAAAUACUCCCUAGUGACCGAUAGUGAACCAGUACCGUGAGGGAAAGGUGAAAAGCACCCCGGAAGGGGAGUGAAAUAGAACCUGAAACCGUGUGCCUACAACAAGUCAAAGCCCGUUAAUGGGUGAUGGCGUGCCUUUUGUAGAAUGAACCGGCGAGUUACGAUUGCAUGCGAGGUUAAGUUGAAGAGACGGAGCCGCAGCGAAAGCGAGUCUGAAUAGGGCGUUUGAGUAUGUAGUCGUAGACCCGAAACCAUGUGAUCUACCCAUGUCCAGGUUGAAGGUGCGGUAAAACGCACUGGAGGACCGAACCCACGUACGUUGAAAAGUGCGGGGAUGAGGUGUGGGUAGCGGAGAAAUUCCAAACGAACUUGGAGAUAGCUGGUUCUCUCCGAAAUAGCUUUAGGGCUAGCCUCGGAAUUGAGAAUGAUGGAGGUAGAGCACUGUUUGGACUAGGGGCCCAUCUCGGGUUACCGAAUUCAGAUAAACUCCGAAUGCCAUUCAUUCAUAUCCGGGAGUCAGACUGUGAGUGAUAAGAUCCAUAGUCGAAAGGGAAACAGCCCAGACCACCAGCUAAGGUCCCAAAAUAUAUGUUAAGUGGAAAAGGAUGUGGGGUUGCACAGACAACUAGGAUGUUGGCUUAGAAGCAGCCACCAUUUAAAGAGUGCGUAAUAGCUCACUAGUCGAGUGACCCUGCGCCGAAAAUGUACCGGGGCUAAACAUAUUACCGAAGCUGUGGAGUACACCUUUAGGUGUAUUGGUAGGAGAGCGUUCUAAGGGCGUCGAAGGCAGAUCGUGAGGACUGCUGGAGCGCUUAGAAGUGAGAAUGCCGGUAUGAGUAGCGAAAGACAGGUGAGAAUCCUGUCCACCGAAUGACUAAGGUUUCCUGGGGAAGGCUCGUCCGCCCAGGGUUAGUCGGGACCUAAGCCGAGGCCGAUAGGCGUAGGCGAUGGAUAACAGGUUGAUAUUCCUGUACCCGUUGUUUUUGUUUGAGCAAUGGAGGGACGCAGG